rnacentral:rRNA from 1 species
UACGAAGGGGGCUAGCGUUGUUCGGAAUUACUGGGCGUAAAGCGCACGUAGGCGGAUAUUUAAGUCAGGGGUGAAAUCCCAGAGCUCAACUCUGGAACUGCCUUUGAUACUGGGUAUCUUGAGUAUGGAAGAGGUAAGUGGAAUUGCGAGUGUAGAGGUGAAAUUCGUAGAUAUUCGCAGGAACACCAGUGGCGAAGGCGGCUUACUGGUCCAUUACUGACGCUGAGGUGCGGAAGCGUGGGGAGCAAACAGG